UGCGGCUGAGGCCAAGCUAAGGCCGCCUUCUCUGGUCACUGCUGGUCAGAGAUGAGCCAACCUGUCCCCUGUAGGAUGACAUAUGUAGCUCUGAAGUGAUUGGCUCACAGCCAAGAUGGUGUGAGUUGGUAGUACAAUUCCUCUGAAACAAUAACACCAAGGGCACUGGUUCCCUGGCGGUAUUAGCUGCUCGGGUAAUAGAGUGCAAGUCAGUUUCCCGUUCCCCUAGCUCGAUCCAGAUGGGCUACCAGCUGUGGUGGAAUCAGAGCUCCUGCACGCUUAGCUAAACCGCUAGCAAGCUCUUUAAUUCCAUAGAUAAAUGCCCAUGAUGCAACUGGUUGGGUCAAUUCUCUGUUAAGACAGUUUGUACAUUCAAUCCAUGCUGUCUAUGCUGCCUACUCCAGGCCAGGCCAUUGAAAUAGAUCUACCCCUGCCUUGAAAAGCCACUCUUAUCAAGCUGCCCUGUGCAGUUUUUGUGUCUCUGUACUAACUCCCCCGUGCUCGGCAGGGGAGAAACACAUCAACGAGAGACAGCAACAAUGUUCAGAGCCCGAUCCGUACCUCCUACUGGAUCCAUACGGCACAUGUGCAAUGGCUACCACCUUUACCACACAUAACAAAAAUAUAAACAACACUUAAAGUGCUGGAUUGUCGCUGCAUUGGCCCCUGAAGAAAUCAUGUUCAGGCCUUGUUGGUGUGGGGAGGCAAGUUGCAAACAUCAGAGAAUCAUGUAGUGGGCCCCAUUUAGCCCGGUUCAUUCCCUGCUCUAUUGCUAUAUGGAGGGAUGCAUUAUACAUCACAGUUGAAUGAUCCUAAACUUAUGUUAGUUUGCUAUGGAAAGCCUCAUAAUAUAGUAAAGGUUCAACAAUUAUUAGAGCUUUUUUUAUUGAUGUUUUUUCUCGAAAUAAGUGAUUCUUCAAACGUAUUGUAUAAAAAAUUAAAUAGAAAACGUUAUCGAAAUUAUACAAAAUU